GUAGGUGGCAAGCGUUGUCCGGAAUUAUUGGGCGUAAAGCGCGCGCAGGCGGUCCUUUAAGUCUGAUGUGAAAGCCCACGGCUCAACCGUGGAGGGUCAUUGGAAACUGGGGGACUUGAGUACAGAAGAGGAAAGCGGAAUUCCAAGUGUAGCGGUGAAAUGCGUAGAGAUUUGGAGGAACACCAGUGGCGAAGGCGGCUUUCUGGUCUGUAACUAACGCUGAGGCGCGAAAGCGUGGGGAGCAAACAGGAUUAGAUACCCUGGUAGUCCACGCCGUAAACGAUGAGUGCUAAGUGUUAGGGGGUUUCCCGCCCCCCUUAGUGCUGCAGCUAACGCAUUAAGCACUCCGCCUGGGGGAGUACGGCCGCAAGGCUG
rnacentral:rRNA from 1 species